CAGACAUAAGUUUACAGAAAUCGACUAGGGAAAAUUUAGAGCCAGCUUCAAUCGCAAUAUUAUUAUUAGUAGCUUGUAUUGGGUUGAUGUGACUUCACAACUGUGAAGGUAAAAUGAAUACACACUAUUGCACAGGCUAGUUUAAAUUUCACUUUGGAGAAGAAGAAACAAACAAGAUAUCACUAUUGGUGACUUAAGUCAUUCCUGCCUCCUCCAAAGAUGGGAAUGUUCAUGUUAUUGUGGAUUGUAUUUUCGUCAAACGCAGCUUAUGGUCGAGAGUGGUUGUAUUACGUGGUGCAAUGGGACCAUUUACUCAGUCUUGAGCCAAAUUCACCUCAACAGUUCAUGUUCGGAACCACUAAAGGCGAUACAAACAGUUGUUUUGAAUUCUGCUAUUUUACUGAAGAAUGCAAUAUGAUUAUUGAAUCCGAAUGCUGUUGUUAUGCCAGUGGCUUUCCAACAACCGACACUUAUUAUUUCAUAAUGAGUAGCAGCUACCAAAAUAAAGUAUGGUUGAAACGUCCAGUCCACGUUUGUGAUGUGCCAGGGUUUAUUUAUUAAAAAGAGGUAUGUUUUAAAAUAUUUGAAGACAUCACUAAAACAUGGGGUGAUGCCAAGCAAGAAUGUGAGCUCUUAGGAGGACGACUAAUUGUGUUAGAUUCAGAAUACAAACAUAACACUACUGUGGAAGCAUUACACAAUUUUUCUCCUAAUCCAUACGCUGGUCAAUAUUUUGUCGGCGCUACAGAUAUAGGGAGUGAGGAUACUUGGCGCUGGGUAGACGAACACAACAUGGGACCAGCAGCAUAUAUGAGGUUCCAUGGGCUCAAUCCUAAUAAUUAUGAUAUGCACUACCCUGGGGAAGACGCUAAUUGUGGCGUUCUGAAAAUGAGACAAGAUGGGAUAGUAGAUGAUUACUGCCUCCAGGAAAAGGGGUUUAUAUGUGAAUACGUUAAAGGAUUACCGUGAUAAAGAAGGGUCUCUAUGAUUUCUUUGACUGCCAACAUCAAACAAAUAUUUGUUUAACUAUAACAGUAUAUCUGUGAAUAAAUUAUCUUUCAAACAAAAUAAGUAUCCAGAUUAAGUGCUGUGCGUGGGAAAACAA